rnacentral:rRNA from 1 species
UCAAGUGAAUAAGUGCAUCAGGUGGAUGCCUUGGCGAUGAUAGGCGACGAAGGACGUGUAAGCCUGCGAAAAGCAUCGGGGAGCUGGCAAUAAAGCUAUGAUCCGGUGAUGUCCGAAUGGGGAAACCCACUGCAUUCUGUGCAGUAUCCUAAGUUGAAUACAUAGACUUAGAGAAGCGAACCCGGAGAACUGAACCAUCUAAGUACCCGGAGGAAAAGAAAUCAACCGAGAUUCCGCAAGUAGUGGCGAGCGAACGCGGAGGAGCCUGUACGUAAUAACUGUCGAGAUAGAAGAACAAGCUGGGAAGCUUGACCAUAGUGGGUGAUAGUCCCGUAUUCGAAAUCUCAACAGUGGUACUAAGCGUACGAAAAGUAGGGCGGGACACGUGAAAUCCUGUCUGAAUAUGGGGGGACCAUCCUCCAAGGCUAAAUACUCAUCAUCGACCGAUAGUGAACCAGUACCGUGAGGGAAAGGCGAAAAGAACCCCGGGAGGGGAGUGAAAUAGAACCUGAAACCUGAUGCAUACAAACAGUGGGAGCACCCUUGUGGUGUGACUGCGUACCUUUUGUAUAAUGGGUCAACGACUUACAUUCAGUAGCGAGCUUAACCGAAUAGGGGAGGCGUAGGGAAACCGAGUCUUAAUAGGGCGAACAGUUGCUGGGUGUAGACCCGAAACCGAGUGAUCUAUCCAUGGCCAGGUUGAAGGUGCCGUAACAGGUACUGGAGGACCGAACCCACGCAUGUUGCAAAAUGCGGGGAUGAGCUGUGGAUAGGGGUGAAAGGCUAAACAAACUCGGAGAUAGCUGGUUCUCCCCGAAAACUAUUUAGGUAGUGCCUCGAGCAAGACACUGAUGGGGGUAAAGCACUGUUAUGGCUAGGGGGUUAUUGCAACUUACCAACCCAUGGCAAACUAAGAAUACCAUCAAGUGGUUCCUCGGGAGACAGACAGCGGGUGCUAACGUCCGUUGUCAAGAGGGAAACAACCCAGACCGCCAGCUAAGGUCCCAAAUGAUAGAUUAAGUGGUAAACGAAGUGGGAAGGCCCAGACAGCCAGGAUGUUGGCUUAGAAGCAGCCAUCAUUUAAAGAAAGCGUAAUAGCUCACUGGUCGAGUCGUCCUGCGCGGAAGAUGUAACGGGGCUCAAAUCUAUAACCGAAGCUGCGGAUGCCAGUUUACUGGCAUGGUAGGGGAGCGUUCUGUAGGCCGAUGAAGGUGCAUUGUAAAGUGUGCUGGAGGUAUCAGAAGUGCGAAUGUUGACAUGAGUAGCGAUAAAGCGGGUGAAAAGCCCGCUCGCCGAAAGCCCAAGGUUUCCUACGCAACGUUCAUCGGCGUAGGGUGAGUCGGCCCCUAAGGCGAGGCAGAAAUGCGUAGUCGAUGGGAAACGGGUUAAUAUUCCCGUACUUUGAUUCAAUGCGAUGUGGGGACGGAGAAGGUUAGGUUAGCAAGCUGUUGGAAUAGCUUGUUUAAGCCGGUAGGUGGAAGACUUAGGCAAAUCCGGGUCUUCUUAACACCGAGAAGUGAUGACGAGUGUCUACGGACAUGAAGUAACCGAUACCACGCUUCCAGGAAAAGCCACUAAGCUUCAGUUUAAAUCGAACCGUACCGCAAACCGACACAGGUGGGCAGGAUGAGAAUUCUAAGGCGCUUGAGAGAACUCGGGAGAAGGAACUCGGCAAAUUGAUACCGUAACUUCGGGAGAAGGUAUGCCCUCUAAUGUGAAGGACUUGCUCCGUAAGCAUAGGAGGGUCGCAGAGAAUCGGUGGCUGCGACUGUUUAUUAAAAACACAGCACUCUGCUAACACGAAAGUGGACGUAUAGGGUGUGACGCCUGCCCGGUGCUGGAAGGUUAAUUGAAGAUGUGCAAGCAUCGGAUCGAAGCCCCAGUAAACGGCGGCCGUAACUAUAACGGUCCUAAGGUAGCGAAAUUCCUUGUCGGGU